rnacentral:rRNA from 1 species
CUGAUGUUAGCGGCGGACGGGUGAGUAACACGUGGGUAACCUGCCUGUAAGACUGGGAUAACUCCGGGAAACCGGGGCUAAUACCGGAUGGUUGUUUGAACCGCAUGGUUCAAACAUAAAAGGUGGCUUCGGCUACCACUUACAGAUGGACCCGCGGCGCAUUAGCUAGUUGGUGAGGUAACGGCUCACCAAGGCAACGAUGCGUAGCCGACCUGAGAGGGUGAUCGGCCACACUGGGACUGAGACACGGCCCAGACUCCUACGGGAGGCAGCAGUAGGGAAUCUUCCGCAAUGGACGAAAGUCUGACGGAGCAACGCCGCGUGAGUGAUGAAGGUUUUCGGAUCGUAAAGCUCUGUUGUUAGGGAAGAACAAGUACCGUUCGAAUAGGGCGGUACCUUGACGGUACCUAACCAGAAAGCCACGGCUAACUACGUGCCAGCAGCCGCGGUAAUACGUAGGUGGCAAGCGUUGUCCGGAAUUAUUGGGCGUAAAGGGCUCGCAGGCGGUUUCUUAAGUCUGAUGUGAAAGCCCCCGGCUCAACCGGGGAGGGUCAUUGGAAACUGGGGAACUUGAGUGCAGAAGAGGAGAGUGGAAUUCCACGUGUAGCGGUGAAAUGCGUAGAGAUGUGGAGGAACACCAGUGGCGAAGGCGACUCUCUGGUCUGUAACUGACGCUGAGGAGCGAAAGCGUGGGGAGCGA